UACGGAGGGUGCGAGCGUUGUUCGGAUUUACUGGGCGUAAAGGGCGCGUAGGCGGCCUGCUAAGUCGAACGUGAAAUCCCCGGGCUCAACCCGGGAACUGCGUCCGAUACUGGUGGGCUUGAAUCCGGGAGAGGGAUGUGGAAUUCCAGGUGUAGCGGUGAAAUGCGUAGAUAUCUGGAGGAACACCGGUGGCGAAGGCGGCAUCCUGGACCGGUAUUGACGCUGAGGCGCGAAAGCCAGGGGAGCAAACGGG
rnacentral:rRNA from 1 species